UACGGAGGGUGCAAACGUUGCUCGGAAUUAUUGGGCGUAAAGCGCGCGUAGGCGGCUUUGCAAGUCGGAUGUGAAAUCCCUCGGCUUAACCAAGGAAGUGCAUCCGAAACUGCAGAGCUUGAGUACUUAAGAGGAUCGCGGAAUUCCCGGUGUAGAGGUGAAAUUCGUAGAUAUCGGGAGGAACACCAGUGGCGAAGGCGGCGAUCUGGGAAGAUACUGACGCUGAGGUGCGAAAGCGUGGGGAGCAAACAGG
rnacentral:rRNA from 1 species